CCUACGUGCUGCAGCAGUGAGGAAUCUUGGUCAAUGGGCGCGAGCCUGAACCAGCCAAGUAGCGUGAAGGAUGACUGCCCUACGGGUUGUAAACUUCUUUUAUAAAGGAAUAAAGUGAGGCACGUGUGCCUUUUUGUAUGUACUUUAUGAAUAAGGAUCGGCUAACUCCGUGCCAGCAGCCGCGGUAAUACGGAGGAUCCGAGCGUUAUCCGGAUUUAUUGGGUUUAAAGGGAGCGUAGAUGGGUUGUUAAGUCAGUUGUGAAAGUUUGCGGCUCAACCGUAAAAUUGCAAUUGAUACUGGCAGUCUUGAGUACAGUUGAGGUAGGCGGAAUUCGUGGUGUAGCGGUGAAAUGCUUAGAUAUCACGAAGAACUCCGAUUGCGAAGGCAGCUUACUAAACUGCCACUGACAUUGAUGCUCGAAAGUGUGUGUAUCAAACAGGAUUAGAUACCCGAGUAGUC
rnacentral:rRNA from 1 species